rnacentral:precursor_RNA from 1 species
CACUGACAAGUGGACUAAGUCAUGUUGGUUGAUGUAGGCUGCGUGGUUGGGGUCCGCGAGACGAAAGUCACUAAUGGUUAGAG